GACGAACGCUGGCGGCGUGCUUAACACAUGCAAGUCGAACGCUGAAGCUCAGCUUGCUGGGUGGAUGAGUGGCGAACGGGUGAGUAACACGUGAGUAACCUGCCCUCUUCUUUGGGAUAACGACCGGAAACGGGUGCUAAUACUGGAUAUUCACUGAUUCUCGCAUGGGGGUUGGUGGAAAGGUUUUUUCUGGUGGGGGAUGAGCUCGCGGCCUAUCAGCUUGUUGGUGGGGUGAUGGCCUACCAAGGCUUUGACGGGUAGCCGGCCUGAGAGGGUGACCGGUCACAUUGGGACUGAGAUACGGCCCAGACUCCUACGGGAGGCAGCAGUGGGGAAUAUUGCACAAUGGGCGAAAGCCUGAUGCAGCGACGCCGCGUGAGGGAUGGAGGCCUUCGGGUUGUAUACCUCGUUCGCUCAUGGUCAAGCCGCAGCUUGGGGUUGUGGUGAGGGUAGUGGGUAAAGAAGCGCCGGCUAACUACGUG
rnacentral:rRNA from 1 species